rnacentral:piRNA from 1 species
GACACAGACACAGAUUGCCACGUUGAUUA